CACCAGCACACCCCCGAUGGCAAAGCAGAGGAGGACGAAGUGGAAAAACUCAUCUGAAAGCAGAGUGAAUUCAAGCAGGGCACCAGCGGCAGGCAGCUGCUCUUCUUGCUGCUUCCUCCCGCUGUCAGAACAGGGCUCUGCAGAGAGCCCCACGGCCGCCAAGCAACCGCGGAUUUACGCAGCUGGGCUCCCACCCAUAAACCUGAGCGUCUGCUGUUCCGCGGUGACCUCCGUGCCACAGGCAUAACUUCCCCUGAAUCUCCGUGCGCUCAGCUGGGCACUCACCGGACUCCUCAGAAGGUACCAGCUCUCCAUGGGAACCUGCGCAGAAGGGAAACCAGCGAUGACCUAUCCGUCACCCUCGGGGUGGGGGAGGUGGCUCUCACCCAGAGACUCUCCGUCUGCUCUCCAUGGGCUGGAGGAAGCAGGAGGCGAGUCAUCUUCCAUCUAAAAGGGCAGGACAGCCACCAGCUGCCGAACGUGUCACAGGCUCCGGUUUCCCAUGGGACACCAGAAGUCAGGGUUUUACAUAAACUUCUUGAUUAUCAAAAGCACUUGGCAACUCGUCUUUCCUCAAAUCCAAGACACCAUCUUGGGCAUGACUUUAUUUUAUGUGUUGAAAUGUAAGGAAAGCCACUGCCCAUGAAACCUGUUAGUUGUCAGUGAUCUUAAGAUGCAUUCUGAUUUCAGGAAUGUCCAAACGUGCAAAAGGGUGA